AGUAUUAACAAUUCCCAAUAUAAACAACUAGAAAUAUAAAAAGUAUUAACAAUUAAAUCAAAAAUAAAAUAAAAACACUAUAGGAACAUUAUAUACAAUGUAGACAGAGUCAGUAGUUGGAUAUGGAACAUAGCACAGAGAAUACUGCACAUAUAAAUUAAAUUAUAGAAAUAUUGUACAAUAUUGAAUGCUAAACAUGACCGACUGUACAUAAAUGAUCACUGUUAAUAUGUUUCUGUUUCUGUCUUGGCAGCUCUGCAGACUGUCCCUGAGGCCCUGAAGCAGCAGCUGCAGUUCACAGCAUUAAAGGUUUGAACACCAGAGGGCAGUCAGACGACAGAAACAUGGAGUCUACCACAUUUGAGAGGUCUUCUCCGAUCUCCAGAUGUGAAGCGUCCAGCAACCAUCGGGACAAAUUCUACUCCAACCUCUAACCUUUCAUUUUAUUUUAUUUGCAUUAUUUCUUUUUAUUGUUAUUAUUAAUUAUAACUAUAAUGACAUGGCUCCCCUGCUGCAAAGAAGUUCUCUCAGUUGCCAUUUUUAUUUGUUUUUUAUUUUAUUUUUUCAAGAAGUCCUCAUAUAUUUUACUGUAACAACACUCUGUUACAAGUUCUGGAUUCAAGAUUUCACUUCAGUAAAUAUUAUGAACAACAAAAUGUACCUAAAGUAUCACAGUUAUAGCAACUUGUUGGGCAGAGUUUUCUCUUUCAAAUAGUUACAUUUCAACUAUUUUUAUAUACA